AUUGAACGCUGGCGGCAGGCUUAACACAUGCAAGUCGAGCGGGGUGAUGGUGCUUGCACUAUCACUUAGCGGCGGACGGGUGAGUAAUGCUUAGGAAUCUGCCUAUUAGUGGGGGACAACAUCUCGAAAGGGAUGCUAAUACCGCAUACGUCCUACGGGAGAAAGCAGGGGAUCACUUGUGACCUUGCGCUAAUAGAUGAGCCUAAGUCGGAUUAGCUAGUUGGUGGGGUAAAGGCCUACCAAGGCGAUGACGGGUAGCUGGACUGAGAGGUCGGUCAGCCACAAUAGCACUGAGAUACGGGCUAUACAUCUACGGAUGGCAGCAACGGGGAAUUUUGCGCAAUGGACGAAAGUCUGACGCAGCGACGCCGCGUGAGGGAUGAAGGCCUUCGGGUCGUAAACCUCUUUUGACAGGGAAGUGCCCGCCGUAAGGCGAGGCGUACGGUACCUGUAGAAUAGGCACCUGCUAACCAUGUGCCAGCAGCCGCAGUAA
rnacentral:rRNA from 1 species